GACGAACGCUGGCGGCGUGCUUAACACAUGCAAGUCGAACGGAAAGGCCUUUUCGGAGGUACUCGAGUGGCGAACGGGUGAGUAACACGUGGGUGAUCUGCCCUGCACUCUGGGAUAAGCCUGGGAAACUGGGUCUAAUACCGGAUAGGACCGCACUUUAGUGUGUGUGGUGGAAAGUUUUUUCGGUGUAGGAUGAGCCCGCGGCCUAUCAGCUUGUUGGUGGCGUAAUGGCCUACCAAGGCGGCGACGGGUAGCCGGACUGAGAGGUUGGUCGGCCACAUUGGGACUGAGAUACGGCCCAGACUCCUACGGGAGGCAGCAGUGGGGAAUAUUGCACAAUGGGCGCAAGCCUGAUGCAGCGACGCCGCGUGGGGGAUGACGGCCUUCGGGUUGUAAACUCCUUUCGCCAGGGACGAAGCGUUUUGUGACGGUACCUGGAGAAGAAGCACCGGCUAACUACGUG
rnacentral:rRNA from 1 species